GCCUGGGUGGCUCAGUCGGUUAAGCGUCCGACUUCAACUCAGGUCAUGAUCUUGCGGUCCGCGAGUUCGAGCCCCGCAUCAGGCU
rnacentral:tRNA from 1 species